CGCUUUGUGAGUUUUGAAUUUGGCAACAGCGGCAUGCCUAACUUUCCUGAUCAUCUUUGUGUUAAAAAAUUUAGACAUGUGUAAACCGUUAUGGGGAUUAUUUAUUGGGGAAAUACAGUGAAAAGUAUUUACAGGUAUUUGAUGUAAACCAAGUCAUAUGGAGUUAAGCAAAGUGUGCGCGUUAUGUGGACUAAAAGACAUGGACACAGGAACCUUAAUGUUAAUAUAGAAAGUUAGAAAUUUGAAAGCUGUUGAAAAACAGUUGACAUUAUGCUAAACAAUUAAAAAUCAAAAAAAGCAACAAUACCAACAAUUCAUUGGGAGGGUGGCAAGCUGCGUUCUUAUAUUUAAGCUGUCAUAGUAUUGAGCAUUGAGAAACAGCCUAAUAAAAAUAAAAACAGUAGUUCAAAAGCAGGACAAUGGACAUGGGAGACUAAAAAGUAGAAUGUCAGUCAUACCAAUUACACGAACCCUGCCAAAAUCAAAGUUUUGAAAGAAUAUGUAAACACAUAGAGUAUGAAACGUGAGAGAAGUAUUUUUAGUGAUGUAAUGACCGAAAAGAUUCGAGGAAGAUCAGCUUCGCUAGAAACUUUUCAAGGAACUACCUGUACAAAAGAGUGAAAACGUGGACUGUAAAUCAAAAAGUUCAACUUAUUAUAUUAAGUGGAAGGCAAACAUUAGGGAAAAUAUAAAGAUAUUCUGGAUGCGAUAUCUGUAUUAUGAUGUGUUUAAUUAUAGGAAUAAUAAUAGGAAUUAUAGAUGGUUUUAUGUUUCAAGUCUGGGCACUGAUUUAUAAAGAAAUGAAGGCAAUUGAUACAGACUCUGAUUCCACCCCAUCAGGUGCUAAUUUAAAAGGAAGUCACCGG